rnacentral:rRNA from 1 species
UACGAGGUCCCAAGCGUUGUUCGGAUUCACUGGGCGUAAAGGGUGCGUAGGCGGUCGGGUAAGUCUGACGUGAAAUCUCCGGGCCUAACCCGGAAACUGCGUUGGAAACUGCUUGGCUCGAGGAAUGGAGGGGAGACUGGAAUACUUGGUGUAGCAGUGAAAUGCGUAGAUAUCAAGUGGAACACCAGUGGCGAAGGCGAGUCUCUGGACAUUUCCUGACGCUGAGGCACGAAAGCCAGGGGAGCAAACGGG